rnacentral:sRNA from 12 species
UAUCCAAGUUCCGAACUGACACCGUAUGGUGCGCGUGCCCGAAAGGGCUAGGGCUUGGAUUCCUU